CACGCCGUAAACGAUGGGUGCUAGGUGUAGGAGGUAUCGACCCCUUCUGUGCCGUAGUUAACACAAUAAGCACCCCGCCUGGGGAGUACGGCCGCAAGGUUGAAACUCAAAGGAAUUGACGGGGGCCCGCACAAGCGGUGGAGCAUGUGGUUUAAUUCGACGCAACGCGAAGAACCUUACCAGGGUUUGACAUCCCCUGACAGCUGUGGAAACAUAGUGUUUUAUCUUCGGAUAGACAGGGAGACAGGUGG
rnacentral:rRNA from 1 species